UUUUUCCUUGCAGCUCUUUGCAUCCAUUCUUCUUCUUUUGUACUGGUUUUUAGAGAAAAAUGUAUUUUUUUUUAUGUUAAAUCGAAGUAGAAUUACAAGCUUGGCAAAUGAAUCGGUCAUCGGUUACAGGCGCACAUCUAGUAGUGAUACAUUUUAUCACACUUACCUAGCACUAUGAAACCGACUUUUUGUCAGGCUUGUAAUUCUCCUUUGGUGGCAUAAAAUGACACCGUACGGUGACCGGAUCCUCUUGCGACUGAGCCCGGUUCCAAGCGAUUCGAUCGGCAACUCAACAGCCUUCCGAGUUUGUAUCUCUGAAUUUAAGGAAACCCUGAUUAUUCUUCUUUUUAUGUAGUUAGGAUUUUCUAAAUAAAUUUUUUUUUUUUUGUUUCGGCUUGUUUAUUGGAUCCAAAAUCACAAGCUAUUUUUCUUGCAGAUAUCGUCCGAUUCAAAUCCUACGCGAUUAUCUGUUUAAAUGUUAGAUAUUGUGAUUGAAUUUUUGGAAAGCUUUUCUUCAUUCGCAUGCUAGCAUUCUCUGUGUAUUUUUCUUUCUUUCUUUUUCUGUAUUUUAGUCACUUAUCAAUGUCAAGUUCUGCACUUUGUUAUUGUAAAUUUUCGAUAAAAAUGAAUAAAAUUUCUUAUUUCUUUCGUAUUUCUGUGUUAUUAAGAUGUUCUGUUUCAGUGUCAGGAAAAAAGAUGAUCUGUUUGACACGUGGAUGAUGAAUGAAUGCAAAUUAGGUUUGGUUUGUUUAUGCCAGAAUAAACACAAGAUCGAGAUGGCACUGAUUCUUGUCCUUGAAUAAUCAGUAUAGAAAACUCCAUGAUGCCUCCUUUUAACUGCUUCUUGUACUAAUCGUGCUUGAAUGUUUUUGCCUUAAGGUUAAUUUAAUUGUCUGGGGAAGGUUUUUAGUUCGUUUGCUGUCUCAUGUUGACUUCUUCCGCUGGUGCUUAACAAUUAUCCUUGUACUCUUUUGAAUAACUGGAAUUUAGCAAAAUGUGAAAUAGAAUUUCUAGUAAGCACACAAUUGAUGCAUGGUUAGGUUAUAUUCAACGUGCGUGGUAUAAUGCUAAGAGUUUUUUUGACAAAUGCUGUGGGUGGGGUUUUUUCAUUCAUCUUUCUAUAUUAAGUAGGUGUUUUAGCUACUUCAAUGAGCCUCUUAUAGUAUUUGAAAGAUUGAGACUUCACCGGCCUUCCUUCAUCUAACACUUCAUCAACAGUUGUUUUCCUCCUGCAAUUAAGCCUUUCUCUUCUUUACAUCUUUAGCUCAUCUAAAGUAUUGAAAAUUCUUGUUGACCAAUCUCUCUAUCUGUUAGAUAUUGGUCGCAUUUUCCUAUUUUUGUUUUCUAAUAACUUAAGACCGCUCUAGUUCUUCUGUCCGUGUUAUUUACUUUUUCAUCAUCUACGUAUGAUUAAAAAUCCUCUUGUAGAUCAAUACUUGAGAAUUACCUUUCUUCCAACAUGUCCUGGACUUACAAAGGUGCAUGCCCCAGGGAAGGCUGGGAAGCUGAAUUUUCUGUUCUUUGUGACCUUGUUUUAACCUGCCUCAGCCAUGGGCUGAUAUAUUUUUCCUAGACAAGUAUGGGCUAUCUUAAAAGCUACCAACCUUAUAAACUCGAAAAUAAUUGGAGACUAGCGAAGUGAAACGCAACUCAUGCAGUAGACUCAUAAAACUAAAGCGUGAUACCCUGCAAAAUGAUGUUUACGAUUUGUCAGAGGCAGAUGGAGGGUGGGUCGGGUGGUAGGUGACCUACUGACCUGUUACAUGUAACUGCACUCAUCUCCUUCCCCCCCCCCCCCCCCCCCCAUGGUGUCUGUGGGUUUUAUUUCUUUUCAAGAAGUUGUUUAGUUGUUUCGUUUGGUUUAGUGUUUUAGCUGAAGUUGUGGGUUAAUGGCCUGGUUGUGGGAAUGGUACUUCGUUUGAUCAUUCUGUCUCUAGUUGCAAAUUAGUUACUUUGUUUGAUCAUUCUAUGUUUCUAGUUGCAAAUUAGACUUUUAAUAUUGUUUAAAAUAUAUAAUUAUGCGUGUUUUAGAUGGUUAUUGUUUACUACGAGGAUAAUUUUUAAGAUUAUUUUACUUGUUUGUGUUGAGGUUUAUGCCUUGCCCCUCAGAGGAAAAAAGUAUCGAAACCCAAUUUAGUCUUUCUCAGAAACAGGUCACACCCAUGACCCAUUUAUUAGUUAUCCCUGUAUCCACUAGAUAACAACACGCCACAAAGUGAGAACCAUGCGGUGAAAAUUUACACAUGCAGAGUGGUAUUAAAGCUCAUUACGAGGUUCCUAACUUUUCAGUUGAACAUAUUUUUCCACCUAACAUUUGUUUUUGUGUUGUCAUUAAUGAAGUUGUGAUUAACUCUCCAGGAACUCUGUACCUUUAGCCACGUUGAGGACCCCGUGCACGAUGAAACAGUCACGAUUGAUCUACUCUUCGGAAGAAGCUAUUGCAUUUCGGAGGUGGGAUAGUGUGUAAGGGGUAAGUUUAAAACUAAAAAGGGUUCUAAUGGUGAAUAAUGGAUGGACUAUGUAUCAUUCAUCAUUUUUGUGUAAUGGACUCCUUUUGUCCAUUGCAAUAUCAAUUAUUAUUAUUUUUUACACAUUGAGAAAAUGUUAAAAUUUCGUACUUGCAAGUUGUGAUGAAUUUUCAAUCAAUCUUGCGUCCAAUGUUAAAUUAAAAUAUUGACUUUAU
rnacentral:lncRNA from 1 species